AGUGCAAACUUCACCUUGUGCUAAAGUGUUGCCAGUGUGGGGGACAGGGAGGGGACAGGGGGGACACGGGGACAUCGCUGGGGGAAUCCUGAGUCUGCUCCUCUCUCCUCUUCCUCCUUUGUUCUUCUUUUCCUUUGUUAUUUUCCUUUUUCCUUCUUUCUUUCCCUAUUUUUCUCCCCUUGCCCCCCCCCUAAUUUAUUCCUUCUUUUCUUCUUUUCCUACCCUUUUUUCCUUCUUUCUAUUCUCAUUUUCCUUCUCCCCCUUUCCUUCCCUUAUUUCCCUCUUUUAUUUCUCCCCUCCUAUUUCCUUUUCCCCCUUUUUCCUUUUUUUAAUUUAUCAAUCCCCCCUUUUUUUCCUUCCCCUUUUCCCCCCUUUCUCUGCACACCUGGAAGCUCCCACCCCCUUCACCCCCUCCCAGAGCCCCCAAAAUUCCUUUGGGAUUGGGAUUGGGGAAGGAAAAGCAGCAGCGAGGGUGGAAAAAUCCCAGGGGGGAAAAAAAAACCCCAAAAUCAGGAGGAGAGGAGCCACCAGAACCCCGAGCACAAGGGGAACCUCCAGAGCCUCUGUUCCCAAAUCCACACGGAAUUUUCUCUGCAUAUUCCCAAAAAACCUCAGCCGGUGCUGCCAGAGGGGAGAUUCCAGCUGGGAUCGGCCCCUGCCCGGGGGGGAUCCACUCCCAGAUCCCAAACCCUGCUCAGGGAGGGAUGGGGAUCCACGGGGAUCCCGAUGUUCCUGCCCAAAGGGGGAACGGGAGGGACACAAAUCCCGGGGCUCUGGGAUCCCUCCAGCUCCUUCCCAGGAAAUCCCUGCCACAUCCCUGGAGAGAUCCAAACCCAGGGGGGGGAAAACCCCAAAGGCAGCCUGGACCUGGGUCCCUCCAGCUCUUCCCAGGGGGAUUCCCUGCCCAGAUCCCAAUUCCCUGGCCGGAUCCCAAUUUCUCAAUCUAGAUCCCAAUUUCCCAGCCCAAAUCCCAAUUAUCCUGCCUGGAUCCCAAUUUCCUAGCUUAUAUCCCAAUUUCCCAGCUGAUAUCCCAAUUUCCCUGCCCAAAUCCCAAUUUCCCAGCUGACAUCCCAAUCUCCCUGCCCAAAUCCCAAUUUCCCAGCUGACAUCCCAAUCUCCCUGCUCCAGGUGGGAUUUUUCCAAGCCCACAGGGAUCCCGACACCUCUGCGCUGGCACUGGCUAAAAAUAACAUCGAAAAAAAAUAAAAUUAUUUCUACAAAAAAAGAAUUUAAAAAA
rnacentral:lncRNA from 1 species